rnacentral:rRNA from 1 species
GACGGCCGGACAAAGGCCUUGGGAAGGUAGCCUCUUCGGGGAGUGUUAUAGCCCGGGGUGCAAUGCGGCCUGCCGGGACCGAGGACCGCGCUUUUGCUAGGAUGCUGGCUUAAUGGCUGCCAGCGACCCGUCUUGAAACACGGACCAAGGAGUCGACCUACCGCGCGAGUGUUUGGGCGUUAAACCCAUGCGCGUAAUGAAAGUGAACGGAGGUGGGAGCCCUUUGGGUGCACCAUCGACCGAUCCUGAUGUCUUCGGAUGGAUUUGAGUACGAGCGCCGUGGGUCGGACCCGAAAGAUGGUGAUCUAUACGUGAAUAGGGUGAAGCCAGAGGAAACUCUGGUGGAGGCUCGCAGCGGUUCUGACGUGCAAAUCGAUCGUCAAAUUUGCGUAUAGGGGCGAAAGACUAAUCGAACCGUCUAGUAGCUGGUUCCUGUCGAAGUUUCCCUCAGGAUAGCAGUAACGAAAACAGUCUCAUUAGGUAGAGCAACGAUUAGAGGCCUUGGGGUUGAAACAACCUUAACCUAUUCUCGAACUUCGAAUAUGUGAGAAGUCCUUGUUGCUUAAUUGAACGUGGACAUUGGAUUACCUAUUAGUA